rnacentral:rRNA from 1 species
UACGGAGGGUGCAAGCGUUAAUCGGAAUUACUGGGCGUAAAGCGCACGCAGGUGGCUGAGUCAGUCGAUUGUGAAAGCCCUGGGCUUAACCUGGGAAUUGCAGUCGACACUACUCGGCUCGAGUAUGGGAGAGGGCAGUGGAAUUCCUGGUGUAGCGGUGGAAUGCGCAGAUAUCAGGAGGAACACCAAUAGCGAAGGCAGCUCGCUGGGACGUUACUGACACUGAGGCGCGAAAGCGUGGGGAGCGAACAGG